rnacentral:lncRNA from 1 species
UCUCUGGGACCUGAAGAGCCAAUAAAUACCCCUCUUCUGGAUGGACAUUUGUCCUCACCAAGAACACAGCUCAUCCGGGCUCUCUGGAGGGCCAGGAUAGUGUUUAUAACGAUGAUGACAAUUUCUGUUUUAUGCAAAGAACAAUUCUUUUAGCCUAAGCUGCUCAAGAAGUUUGCCAUCAUUUCUAUCAGCCCCAGAUCUCACAUAGAAUAGCAACAUCGCAUCUGGCAGAGCACCACGUGACAGGGACAAAUAACUCACUUGCCUAUCUCUGGGCCAGGGCUGGCCCACAGUUUCCCUGGCACUGGGCUGCAAUCACAGUCUGUCUCAUCACAUUACCUUGGAGGAGGUGCAGGAAGCCCAGGCAAGGUCGGGAGAGAGAUGGAGAAAGUUGAAAGAUUUAGUAUUCUCACACUUGCCUGGGAGAACACAGCACAGCAUGCAGGGCCACAGUGGCACAGUGUGCAGGGCCACAGUGGCACAGCGUGCAGGACCACAGGGCCACCCUCGGGGUGGGUCAGGAGCCAGAGGGAGAGUGGGACAGUGGCAGGAGCCAUUAGGGUGGUUUCCAUGGGAAGGAAAAGCAAGGCAGGGUGUGCAGGCUCGGGACCGGCUAGCUGUGUUUGCAAGUGGCACCCCUGCGAAAUUCACCUUUACUGUGACUGUUAGAGUGUAGAGUUUAAAGUUAUCAGUUGGUGAAGGGAUGGGAUUAGGGUGCUUCCAUGUGCAGAUUAAUAAAUCAGAAAAAGUUGUUGCUUCCUGCUUCUAAACUGGGCAAAGCCCUCACCACUGGCUUCUCUGUGAGACCCUGUAGUUUUUUUCUUAGGGGAUUUUCCAAGCUAGGUAUCCUGAGCUCCAGUUUAUAGGUGAGACCAUCGAGUCUCAGAAAGGUUAACUAACCUGCCCCAGUUAACACUGCUGGGAGGUGGCUGAGCCAAUAAUGAAAUCCAGGUCUUUGGGUUCUAAGUCCAGUGCCUGCCAUAAAAGGAAUUUCUCCAGCCUGUUUCAGAGGCAGUGGCUGCCGUGCAAAUGCAAUCUGUUUUCACCUCCAACACGUCACAUCUCUGGGCAGAGAUUUUGUUCCCACCUUUGUCGUCG